UGCAAUCAAGCUAGGGAGAAGCACAAGGAAGGGCUCUAAACUAUUCAAUUUUAAAAUAGUCAUUUCUUUUUUUUGCUUUUUAGGGCUGUACCUGCGGCAUAUGGAAGUUCCUAGGCUAGGGGUCAAUCGGAGCUACAGCUGCCGGCCUACACGACAGCCACCACAACUCCGGAUCCAAACCGUGUCCGUGACCUACACCACAGCUCAUGGCAGCGCCCGAUCCUUAACCCACUGAGUGAGGCCAGGGAUCGAACCCGAGUCCUCAUGGAUCCUAGUCGGGUUCAUUAACCUCUGCACCAUGAAGGGAACUCCCUAGUCAUUUCUCAAAGAAGUGUAGGAAUAUAACUUUUCUCUUAGGCGUAUGAGGUGCCUGCAUCACCAGGACUAUGGGUCCUUCUAUUUAUUAUCUGAGGCAAGUUUUCUCCUUUUCACACAAUUCCUGUGAGUCUCUUGUCACCAGAGCUGUGGAGCAAAAGGGACUUCGGACAGGUCACACCAAUCAUCCCACUCAGCCACAUUUCCCCCCACAAAACCCCAAAGCCCAACUCAGAUUACUUUAAAAUUCCAAUGACCCAACGGACAGUGCGUUGCCUGGUCGCCUGCAGUAAAUAAUGAUGUCAUAGCCUGACUGAGGUUGUCUUUCUUGCAAAGGAGCAAUAGGAAAAAUGAAACAACUCAGGAGAAAAGAUGCUUAUUGAAAUGCAAAUGAAUCCUUUGUGUCCGUACUUUAGCUCUUUUGAAGAAGAAAAUCUGUUAGAAGAUAGCCCCAUUGCUGGCCUCCCUACCCCCCUUGCUUAUCGCUUCAAUGUUAUAGGGCACGAAUACUACGGAAAAUAUGUAAGAAUUUUGGAGAGGAAAUACUUGUCUUAAAAAGGCAUACGUUCUUUAAAACUGGCAAAUGGAAUAGUAAAAGUUCCCAGAAGAGUAAAUCCAGGUUGGCUCAGAAACAUUCUAUUUCCCAGUGGGUUGGUGGACAGCCGUGUACAGGUGGAGCCCGCCCCCCGCCCGGGUUCCACAGGGAGCUGGUGGCAGGGAUGUGAGUUGUGGUCCCGAGGCCUGUGCUGUCACUCUACGUGGAUCACCUCUCAGCUACCCAGGCUGCUGCUGGCCUUCUCCAAAAACAAGGCCAUCCCUCGUCUGCACCCGGUAAACAGCAGUUGUUGUGAGAAUUGAAGUUGGCACAGCCUUUUGAGUUCCCCAGAUAAGAAAGUCCUCUUGAAAUGUAAAAUAGGAGAGAACGUUUUAACCACCACAAGGCUCCAUCAGCUGCAGUGCGGAGCGGGGCGAGCAGAGGACAUAGAUGUGUUUCAACUUCUCACUUGCGUUGAGACCUUUGCACAGUGGGUUUCCGACACUUAACGUAACCCUUAUAAAUGCAAAUUUUUGAAACGUUGGACCAGAGAUUUAUUAAAAAUUAUCUUCUUGGUUUAUAUCUGACCCCUAAUGCAUUCUUCUAUUAAUCCUGGAUCUUAGGGGAAAAUAUCUAGAUAUUGAUCCCUGUGGAGUCCCUUCUUUUGGCAAAGUAACGCCAGGGGUUUCCUAUAAACCUACCCAACCGUCUCCUAGACCUGAAGUUGAAUGUCACUAUUUGCCUUUAUGUCUUUGUGUCACCUCUGAAAAUUCUAAAGUGCAUCAGUUGUAAGUGGCAAUUUCUCAGUCUCCCUUUGCAUUUUGAACCUUUGACGCAGUGGUGAUUUAAUGGGUAAACUGAUAUAGUCCAUAGUCAGAAAUAAUCUCUCUCCCCUGCCUUCCAAAAGGUCGUGGCGUGGACAUUGUUUUCGCCCAGAGGUAAAAAGGCAGGCUUGUGGACCUCCUUCAGGGCCCCUGCUCUCCCCCCGCCCCCCCAUCCCCGAGUCCAGGUUUGGCUUUGUUUUCUACCAGGUGACAAAAGAGGUUUACCUCGGGCUGCAAACGAGAUGGUGCAGUUUAGGCUUUCUUUACAAAAAUCACGUCUCCUCUCUACUACCCCAUGAUAAAUAGAAUCUGUACUGCCUGACACUUGUGAACAAUGGGUGAAAUGGAUAUUAGAAAAAUCUCAUUUAUCUUCUGCUUUAUUUCUUGAUAGGGGUCCUUGUCACUAGGGCUAUUGUGUGACCAGCCCUGAAAAGGGCAUCUCAUUAGUUUUUCUUAUCAAGAUAGCAAGGUCCUUUUAAACAGCAAAGCACUUACAUUUUAGAUUCAAUUAGGAAACAGCAUGGUGGGUGGGUGUGUGUGUGUGUGCAUGCACACACUUCAGAGCUUCUGCUUUGAGACACAGCAGUGGCAGCUUUAUUCUCAGGGAUUCAGUGUUCACCGGGGUUGAAGCCAACAGCCCUGCACGGUGAUCCAGGCGCUGAAACUCUGCACCCACCUCCACAAAGGUGGGGUCAUCAGCUCCUCUUUACCUGGUCCUAUAUUUUUGCAUGAGGCAGGAUCCAUCUGAGCGAGGCAGGGCAAGUGGGAAGCCAUCUGGGUGUGGAGGGAUGUUCACAGAUUUCUUUUCUGAGGCAGUUUAUUUCGAAAGUCCAACAACAGCCCUUUUUCAGCUCCAGGAGCUUCAGAAGGGCACUUGGUUGCCCAGCCCCCUCUCACGCAGCGGGCUCUUGUGACAAGUGCAUUUUGGAAAGUCUCACUGUUACCACCAGGACAACUGGGAGAAUGUCAACCAAUCAGCCAUGAUUUCGAAUCUGUCAGAUGGAAUUCAACUUUUUCACAUCAUUUCAAAGAUCCUCGUGACAGGCAGAUGAAGUGGCACAACUGUGCAGCAGGGCAGUGUUUGGUAAAUUUAACCAGCAUACUAAGGGAGCACUCCCCCCUCUCCCCCCAUAGCUGAGGAAACAGACCCAAAUGGAAAAAAACAAAAAAAAAUCCCUCUGGGCUUGCGAAGGAUCUCCUGUGGAUAUUGACCUCUUUUGAAAGCAAGGUGACUCUUCCAGGGCAGUGGGAUGUCAUGUGGCUUGCUGGUGACAUGGACUGGGAUGUCACUGGCUGGCAAAGUUGAAUCUCCUCUUGUUGAAUGGAUGUUUCAGGGAGAGAGAAGGUCAUUUACUUGCCUUGGAGGAGAAGGUCACCCCUCGUGAUCCACACUCAUCACAAUUGUGAUGAAAUGACCUGCUUAUAUGAUAUCACUCAUAUGUGGAGUCCAAAAAAUAGGACAGAUGAACUAAGUUACAAAACAGAAAAAGACCCACAGAUUUAGAAAACAAAUUUAUGGGAGUUCCGGUCGUGGCGCAGUGGAAACAAAUCUGACUAGGAACCAUGCGGUUACAUGUUCGAUUCCUGGCCUUGCUCAGUGGGUUAAGGAUCUGGCGUUGCCGUGAGCUGUGGUGUGGGCUGACAGCUGUAGCCCCAAUUAGACCCCUAGCCUGGGAACCUCCAUAUGCCACAAGUGCAGCC
rnacentral:lncRNA from 1 species